AUUGUACUCCUUCCGUCCUAGAAAACUUGUCUCAAGCUUAUUCCUCAAAUGGAUGUAUCUAGCACUAACUUGAUGCUAGAUACAUUUAUUUGAGGAACAAGCUUUUCCGGAUGGAGGGAGUACACC
rnacentral:pre_miRNA from 1 species